ACAGACACAGCACCCACACACAUACAGCACCCACACACAUACAGCACCCACAGACAUACAGCACCCACAGCCAUACAGCACCCACAUACAUUCAGCACCCACAUACACGCAGCACCCACAUACACACAGCACUCACAGACAUACACAGCACUCACACACAUACAGCACCCACACACACAUACAGCACCCUCACAAACACACACAGCACCCUCACAAACACACACAGCACCCUCACACACAGCACACAAACAGCACCCUCACACACACACAGCACACUAACAGUACCCCCACAAACACAAACAGGACCCUAACAAACACACACACAGCACACUACCAGUACCCUCACACACAAACAGCACCCUCACACAC